rnacentral:lncRNA from 1 species
AGCUCUCUGGGAUCUAUUUUAUAUUGAUGCUAAUCCUUGAAUUGUGCUGGUAUGACCCAUUCACCUCUCAGAAGUGCCCACUUUCUAAUAUGUCACAUUGGGAGGUCAGUUUCCAUAUAAGAAUUUUGUUUUGGUGGAAGGCAUACAGACCUUUACAAUUUAGACUAAUUAAUAUAUAUAUAUAUUAUUUACUAUAUAUAUUUAGUAAAUAUAUUAUACUAUAUUUAUUUAUUUCUAUAUAAGCUUUUCUUAUGAACAUGGGCCAAGGUUUGGAAUCAGAGAUACGGUUGGUUGUAGUGGAGCUUGUGACUUUACAUUGGGUAUUUCUAUACUUAAAUUUCUUCAUCAUAGGCAUUUGUGGCUUUUACUUUUAGGAAAAAAAGCUGUUAUUUGGGGAAAGUGAAACGGCUCUAUAGUAGAGAUACUUUAGACUAGUUUUUUUUUUCUUUUGGAAAUGGUCCAGACUGUAGCAACUGUACCUUAUUGCUAAAAUAUAUGUCUGAUUUCCAAUUAUGGCCUCCCAGUCAGCGUGUUCUAAAUUUAAAAAAAAAAAAAAAAA